rnacentral:rRNA from 1 species
UACGUAGGGGGCAAGCGUUGUCCGGAAUCAUUGGGCGUAAAGAGCGUGUAGGGGGCUUUUCAAGUCCGCCGUCAAAUCCCAAGGCUCAACCCUGGACAGGUGGUGGAAACUACCAAGCUGGAGUACGGUAGGGGCAGAGGGAAUUUCCGAUGGAGCGGUGAAAUGCAUUGAGAUCGGAAAGAACACCAACGGCGAAAGCACCCUGCUGGGCCGACACUGACACUGAGAGACGAAAGCUAGGGGAGCGAAUGGG